AAGGCAUGAUGGGAGCAAUUCUUAAGCAUCUCUUUAUAUCUCUCCCAUGCUUCAUAGAGUGAUUCUCCCUCCUUUUGAGUGAACGUGUGAAUCUCAUUCCUCAAUCU